AUUGGUCCUGUUAUGCGACAUUACUAUCAGUCUUCCAUAUAUUAGUGAAAUCAAAUUGGUAAUGAUAAUUAUAGUAACAUCAAUUUUAUCCUUAAAAAAUUGAUUUAAUGUCAUUGGAAAGAUCAAUUUGAUGGUGAAGAUGUGAAAUUGAAGGAUCAAUAUGAUGUGGUGAAUACCUUUAGAAAACCGAUUGAUGUAUUUAGAUAUUUACAAAUCAAAUUCCAGUGUUAUCUCACUAGUUUGAUGGCACAGUUGCUAACUCUUAGAAAUAAGAUCAUAUACCAAAUCGAUUACCAAUGUAUAUUAUUCUAGUGUGUCUUGAAUCAGGUUAAGUUUGAUUUUGACAUAGUUAUCUAUUAUCCCAUUUGCUCAGUGUACGGGGUUGAUAAUUGACGACUUUCAUUGUAUUUUCAGGAGUUGAUAAUCACCACGUCAUCGGUAUUCAUGCUCUUUAUUUUGGGAUCUUAUUAUAGAUAGUGGACCUUUCUUGAAGGCGAAGAAACCAGUAAAUCUAUUGCUGAUCAGAAUACUGUGUUGUGUUCCUAAUCUUACUUUUCUUUUCUUUUUCUUCUUUUCAGUUCUUUUGUUGUUUGUUUCACUCAAAUUUUGUCAAAAGAGAAAUAUAUUUCUUUAUAAGGUAGGAAUAGUGUUAAUUUCAAGUUUUGUUCUAAUUUUUGGUUGGUAAGUUUUGUUCUAUUUGAAUGUUGUGUAUGAUACUCAUUUGGGCUAUUCUGUUCGAAGCACCUCCCUAAUUAAUUAUGAUUCACAUUUAAGUAAUCUUGCUAAUUCAAAUGCAUGGAAGAAAGGAAAACAUUCCAAGGUCUUGAAAUCAAAUCUUUGACUUUGAGACUUGCACGAUGUCUAAGAGGAGAGUUACAAGGUUUCUUAUAAGUAUUACUUUGCCAUAUUAUUCUUUUUUUUUUUAAUGGUAUUUUAAAUUAUUUUUUUUGAACAAGUAUUGUAUUUUUAAAUUAACUGUCAUGGAAAUUUGAAAUGUUCAUUUUAGAUGUAAGUGUAAAACUAAUUUGCAUUUCACUCAUGAAUUGUUUUCAUAUUUAAAAGUAAUUCACUUUCAUUUCCUAUGGGACUUGAAUUUCUUAAACAAGUGGUCACAUUUUUAAUUUUUGUAUAGGAAGAAAAUUAAGUUGAAAUGGGAGGUCACUUUGUGUAUCUCAUAUGUUCAUUGACAAAGAUUUUGUAACUAUAAUACGGUGAAAAUAAAUAAAUAAAGUAUAACUUUAACUAAAUAAUAAUAGCCAACUAUGUAAGGGCUUGGAUAGUUGUAAAGAGUAAAGACAUUUACUCUCAGAUCACAUAAAAAAAAAAAGUAAGAUCGAACUUUCUAAUCUAACCGAAUUGAAAAAUAAUAGUACUUACAUAUUUUAUGAGAUGUUUUCUCUUCCAACCUUCCGUGUUUGUUUUAUACCUCCUGAAUUUCCAGUUUUGUCCUUGUAAAAAACUUCGGUUUGUAGAAACCGAAGUUUUUUUGCCUUGAAAACAAAUUUCGGUUUCUAAAAACCAAAAUUUACUCUGAAUUUACUCUAGAAAAAAUUCGGUUUCUGCGAACCGAUUUUUUUUGCAAGGACAAAAUUGAAAUAUUGGGUGUAUAAAAGAAUCACGGGGUCGGGAGAGAAAACAUCAUUUUAUGAUUAUAUAACAAUUAUGGAUUACGUACCAAAUUGCAUGAUUUGGUUGGGGUUAAUGGAUCAUCUGUAACGGAAUGUUUUCUUCUUUCAUUUUUACUUUCGGUGAAAUUUAUAGCAAGUGUCGUGAACUUAAUUCAGUUCGAAUACUAAAUAUCUCACUUAUUUAUCUUAAUAAAGAUAAAAUUUUAAUCAAUAAACUAUUUGACAAAAAAAUUAUACUUUAACAUUUCAAAGAACUCGAGUUUGAUUUACGAUAACAACAAUAUUUUAUCCAAUUUUACUUAACUUUCGACUGAACUCUCGAUUACCGGAACUCGGGUUACCCAAACAAGAAUCAACCGUACUGUAGUUGGAGUGGAAAAUUGCAGUAGUUCUCUUUCUUCUUGUUCUCUAUUGAGAAGAUAGAUAGAUAGAUAGAUAAAUAAAUACAAGUUAAACCCUAAAAUCACGCUCAUACUCACAUUCCAAUUCAAUGGCUUUGGCCAUCUCAAACAUACUUCACUUUCACUACCCUAAAUUCAACAUUUCCCGUUCCCAAAUUUCAACUUCUCUCAGGUUUUUCCUUCUCCCUUUGCUUUUCCUACUAAAAUCCACUUUCUCACCUAUAACUCAAAUUCGGUUUAAAAUUUGCAGGUUUCCUAAGAGAACAUCAUGGAAUAACAGACUAAUUAUCAGUGCUUCUGCAUCUGCAGCUGGAAGUUCUAAUCCUAACGGUGACUUCAAUCCAUAUGAGGUCAAAAAAUUUACUCUCUAAUCUAUUUAUUUACUUAAUUAUCUUAUAAUUACUUGUUAUUAAUGUAUCACAUUAUGUUAUUGUUACAAUAAUUAUACAGAUUAUUGGUGUAAGCCCUAUCGAGAAGUUUGACACGAUCAAAGCAACAUAUACUAAGAAAAAGAAGGAAGCUGAGAUUAAGGGUGAUGAAGAAACUGCUUCCAAAGUAACUAACUUUACUGUUCUCUAUUAUUAUUUUUACUGAAAUGUGUAAUUUACUGCGAGACCGGACCGAUGAUUACUUUUUGCAUUGAUUCUACAAAUGUGUCUUAUAAUGCUUUUAAUUAUUUCAUUUUUUAUCAAGUUGUUAGUGAAUAGGGAUCCUUAUUGUUAUAUGUUUUUCCUUCAAUUUUAAUGUACUAACAUAUGUGAUCUUGUGUAUUGUGAACCUAUCAUCCAGCUUGAAAAGGCAUAUGACAAACUUAUGAUGGCUCAAUUGAGUAAUCGGAAAAAGGGUGUCACUUUUGGAUCAUUUAAGGUAAAGUAGGGGAACCUUUAUUUUCGCAAACAUUUGAAAUUGCACACAAAACAUGAAUACAUGAGUUUGUAGAGAUACUUGUUUAGAUUGUUUAGUUCUGUAGGCAUUUCAUGUAUUCGACAUUCAUUGGACUUCCUUUGAUGAAGCAGCUAUAAUUUUUACAGGACAUCUCUUAUGACUCUUUUUUUCCGGCUCAAAAUGAAUAUAAGCAGCCUAUAAAUUAUGCAUAUCGAGAGAUUAGGAUGAAUUAAUCUCUUAUGGUCUUGACACUUUCCGUUACAAUGAAUUAACUUCCAAGAUUUAUGAUUUAUCAGUAUUCUCAGUCAUAGAAUCUUAUACCCUUAAUCUAGCUACACUACACUAGCAUGUUUUUUGCCUCAAAUUAUUUCAUCCACUUCAUCUAUGUUAUAUUGUGCCUUCUUCCCAUUUCCCCUCAAUAUUUCACCCUAACUUUUUGGUUGUGUGCUUCUCCAAAUUUUAUAUAAUUUCUAAAAUGAAUGCAGGUUUCAAAGGACAUAAAGUAUGCUGACAAGCAGCCAAUUAUACCUUGGGGACCAAGGUUUGUUAUUGCUUCUCAUGGUUCAUGACAUGGUUGUUCUGUUGCUGUAUAUUGUUCUAUUAUGCUGCAAUGUGCUUGAGAAUUGUCGCCAUGUUAUUUCCCUGCUCUAAAGUUCCACCCACUUUAUGGUUGAAUUGUGUUAAUUAAGAUGACAUGUCUUCUAUAAUCGACACGAUUCAAUUACUCUUUUAUUAUGGGUGGAACUUUGGAGGGGGGAACAAUUUAUUAUGCUAUGUAGCAACAGUUUGGAAGGAAAAUCUCAUUUUUCCUACUGUAUGUAUAACUGAGAUUUAUUUCCAGUGUCAAUUUCAUCAUGUUCUACAUUUUCUUCAAGUUAAUUUUUUCCCGUUAUCACUAAACAGUGUCAUUCUAUUAUCAGUGACUUGGAGUUUUUGACAUUAUUUGAACUCCAAUGCAAUUUCAGGUUUGCUAAAUCAAGUGAAAAUGAUGUGCGCAUCAACUUGGCAAUAGCUGCUGCUUUUGUGAGUAGCAAAUGAGUGGUUGAUUUUAUUUAUUUAUUUUGGAAUAUACUAAUGCUCAGAAAACAUCUUGGUCUUACGUCUUAUAAUGUAGUAUUGAUAAGAAUUGUUUACUAUUUUCUGCAGACAGCUUGGAUCGUGGUCACCCGUAGUGCUGAUUAUAAACCUUUGCAGUUUUUAGCCUUUGCUUUUGUAUAUAGGCUUUUUGAGAAGUUAAAAUCCUUUGAUUCUCCUAAAAGCUCCACGAUUAAUGUGAGUUUCAUAUUCUAUGACAGCACAUUCAAUAAAAUCUUAAAAUCUUCUAUUUUUAAACUAUGUUCAAUUAUCAAAAGAAUUGUAUAGUUCAUGAUAAUGUUGGCUACAGGAAGAUGGUGAAGAUCCAGGAGAAGGACUGCGCAUGGGAAAGAGACUACUCCGAUCGCUGGCCUUGGUUUUUGGAUGUGUAGCUAUUUCAUCCUUGGUAUGAUUCAAGGAUCACUCCUUUUCAUCUUCCUUUUUUUUUUCCUUUUCUUUUCAUCAUGAUAUUGUGAAAAGAUUAAUUUGCAUAAUUUCCUUUUAAUCUUUAUUGGAACUAAUAUUUGAAGACAAACUUAGGCUUUUGUACUGUGCUGGACUUCCACUAGGAGAGUAGGAACAAACUUUGCAAGUUAUUGCUUUUGGGAAAGAUUGGACUUUGUCAAUAUAUUUGCAAGUUAUUGCUUUUGCAAGUUAAUGAUGCCCAAACUAAUUUAUAUUGUGUAUUUUUAGUUUUUAGCUGAAAAUAUAUUUUCAGUAUGCUAUUCAGUUACUUUGUUUGUGUCUCAGAAUUCAUCGUAGUCAAAUAUGCUUGAAAUUUCUAUUUUGUUGUUAUUAUAAAUAUUAUUACUCCUCAAAAUUGUUCAAUAUUCCAGAUAAAGAUUAAUACAUUCUGGUCAUUUCCUGCAGGGUUACACUUUCGCUUUGAACAUAAUUGAGUCUGCAAUUGGUUCUAUCCCACUUUUUCUUUACAACAGUCAGGUAUAAAUUAAUUCAGUUCUUCCUGACUAAAUCAAUUGUUCAGAAACCUUGUGAGUAAUAUGAUGAUGCAUGUCCUGCAGUUUAUUUUUCUUAGGAAUGCCGGAAAUUUUGUUUGCAUUCUUUAUGUGGGCUUUCUUAUCAAAUGUCAUUUUUAUUUUAGCAAGUUAUCAAAUGUCAUUUUCCUAUGCGGUGAAGAGUUGAAGAUUUAUGUUCAUUAUUCAACAAUUAUAAACUGUGUCUUGGUUACACGAGCAUUAAUUUUUAAUACAUGGCAAGCUGUUUGGUUGCCAUUUAAGUAAGAUAUACUUUUGCACUAGGAUAGCUAGUUAACUGUGUUGUUAAAAAGCCUGCUAUACUGGGACUACAGCAUUGCAGAAUUUUAACAAACCGCCAUUGUUUCGCGAUACGCGAUUUAGUUUAUUGUCUAAUAGUGGCUAUAGCAGCGUAUAACACUGUAGCGUAGUGGAAUUUGAGCAAAUCGCCGUACCGAAUGUCUCUUAAUAUGCAUAUAUGAAUUCGAGAUGUAUCAUAAGAUUGAUUCUAAAAGUACAGGCACCAAUUGCAGUAUUUUUAAAUCUUAUCUAUAUAUUUCAUUUCUUCUAUUAAUGUGUCCUUUGCAAUAUGAAAUUCCAUUGGUGUUAUAUACUUUGUCGACCGUAGAGUAAACUUAUUGGUCCUCUUAUGCGACAUUACUAUCAGUCUUCCAUAUAUUAGUGAAAUCAAAUUGGUAAUGAUAAUUAUAGAAACAUCAAUUUUAUCCUUCAAAAACUGAUUUAAUGUCAUUUGAUGGAUCAAUAUGAUGGUGAAGAUGUGAAAUUGAAGGAUCAAUAUGAUGUGGUGAAUACCUUUAGAAAACCGAUUGAUGUAUUUAGAUAUUUACAAAUCAAAGUCCAGUGUCAUCGCACUAGUUUGAUGGCACAGUUGCUAACUCUUAGAAAUAAGAUCAUACACCACAUCUAUUACCAAUGCAUAUUAUUCUAGUGUGUCUUGAAUCCGGAUAAGUUUGAUUUUGACAUAUUUAUCUAUUAGCUCAGUGUACGGGGUUGAUAAUUUGAUGACUUUCAUUGUAUUUUCAGGAGUUGAUAAUCACAGCAUCAUCGGCAUUCAUGCUCUUUACUUUGGGAUCUUAUUAUAGAUAGUGGACCUUUCUUGAAGGCGAAGAAACCAGUCAAUCUAGUGCUGAUCAGAAUACUGUGUUGUAGUACUCUUCCGUUCCUAAUCUUCCUUUUUUUCUUUCUUCUUUUCAGUUCUUUUGUUGUUUCACUCAAAUUUUAUCAAAGGAGAAAUACAUUUCUUUAUAAAGUAGGAAGAGUGUUAAUUUCAAGUUUUGUUCUAAUUUUUUGGUUGGUAAGUUUUGUUCUAUUUGAAUGUUGUGUAUGAUAUCAUUUGGUCUAUUCUGUUCGAAGCACCUCCCUAAGUAAUCUUGCUAAUUCAAAUGCAUGGAAGAAAGGAAAACAUUCCAAGGUCUUGAAAUCAAAUCUUUGACCUUGAGACUGGCACAUUCAACUUAGAAAAUGUCUAAGGGGAGAGUUACAAGGUUUCUUUAGUAAAAAAAACAGGUUUCUUAUAAAUAUCAAGAUUUAAUGGAUAUGUACUGUUAAUGUAACUUAAUUUUAUAUUGACAUUUAAUAUAAAAUAUAUUAUUACUUUGCCAUAUUACUUUAUUGUUUUUAAUUGUAUUUUUAAAUUAAUUGUCAUGGAAAGUUGAGGUAUUCAUUUUGGAUAUAAAGUGUAAAACUAAUUCGCAU
rnacentral:lncRNA from 1 species